AGAACGUGGCUACUGUGCCAGCUGGUGGAUCGCUCGGCUUGAGAGCUGAAGACGGACGUGCCAAGCUGCGAUAAGCCUGUGGGACCCGCACGGAGGGAAAGAACACAGGAUUUCCGAAUGGGAAUCCCCACCGCAAUUGCUUCGCGCAAUGGGGAACGCCGAGAACUGAAACAUCUCAGUAUCGGCAGGAAGAGAAAACGUAAUCGUGAUGUCGUUAGUACUGGCGAAGGAACGCGAUCCCAGUCCAAACCGAAGCCUUCGGGCAAUGUGGUGUUCGGACUGACAUGCACUCUCAGAACCGUUACAAGAAGUCUCUUGGAACAGAGCACGAGACAGGGUGACAGUCCCGUACUGUAACGUAGUAAGAGACGAGUCAGCUCCAGAGUAUCGGGGGUUGGAUAUCCCUCGUGAAUAUCUCAGGCAUCGACUGAGAAGACUAAAUACUCCUCAAGACCGAUAGCGAACAAGUAGUGUGAACGAACGCUGAAAAGCACCCCACGAAGGGAGGUGCAAUAGGGCGUGAAAUCAGUUGGCGAUCGAACGACNAUAGCGAACAAGUAGUGUGAACGAACGCUGAAAAGCACCCCACGAAGGGAGGUGCAAUAGGGCGUGAAAUCAGUUGGCGAUCGAACGACAGAGCACACAAGGUCCCGUGAGCAACGAGGCAGGUGCGAACCUGUAGUAGACAUCACGGGAAGCCGGUGUUGUGUCGUGCGUUUUGAAAAACGAACCAGGGAGUGUGCCUGUUUGACGAGUCUAACCUGCUUAUCAGGGAAGGCGUAGGGAAACCGAUAUGGCCGCAGUCUUUCGACGAGGGCCACCGUGUUCAAGCGCGGGGAGUCAAACGGGCACGACCCGAANGGGAAGGCGUAGGGAAACCGAUAUGGCCGCAGUCUUUCGACGAGGGCCACCGUGUUCAAGCGCGGGGAGUCAAACGGGCACGACCCGAAACCGGACGAUCUAGACAUGGAUAAGGUGAAGCGUGCCGAAAGGCACGUGGAGGCCUGUUAGCGUUGGUGUCCUACAAUACCCUCGCGUGAUCUAUGUCUAGGGGUGAAAGGCCCAUCGAGUCCGGAAACAGCUGGUUCCAACCGAAAAAUGUCGAAGCAUUACCUCUGCCGAGAUAGUUCGUGAGGUAGAGCUACGGAUUGGGGGACCGCACUCCGAGAGGAGUGCGCCCCCCUGUCCAACUCCGAACUUACGAACGUCGUUUGACGCAGGGAGUUCGGUGCACGGGGUAAGCCUGUGUACCGUAAGGGAGACAACCCAGCGCCGGGUUAAGGUCCCCAAGUGUGGAUUAAGUGCGAUCGAAGGUGGUCUCAAGCCCCAGACAGCCGGGAGGUGAGCUUAGAAGCAGCUACCCUCUAAGAAAAGCGUAACAGCUUACCGGCCGAGGUUUGAGGCGCCCAAAAUGAUCGGGGCUCAAAUCCACCACCGAGACCUGGCCGUNAACCGUGUAGGUUGGCGUUCUGUUCGGGUGGAAGCACGAACGAGAGUUCGUGUGGACCGUUCAGAAACGAAAAUCCUGGUCAUAGUAGCAGCGUGAGUCGGGUGAGAACCCCGACGGCCGAACGAGUAAGGGUUCCUCAGCAAUGCUAAUCAGCUGAGGGUUAGCCGGUCCUAAGUCUCACCGCAGUUCGACUGAGACAACAGGGAAACAGGUUAAUAUUCCUGUGCCGGUAUGCAAUCAAAGUUGACGCUUCGGGGCCGCUCGAACCGGGCACUCGCCCGGUCGAACAGUCGAAGACCGUGGAAGCCGUAAUGGCACGAAGCGAUCGAAUGACUGGAUAGCGCAAGUCGAGCCAACCUGGAGCCCGUGAAAAGACGAGCAUACCGUCCGUACCGAGAUCCGACACAGGUACUCGUGGCAGCGAAAGCCAAGGUCUGUCGGGAAUAACCGACGUUAGGGAAUUCGGCAAGUUAGUCCCGUACGUUCGCAAUAAGGGAUGCCUGCCCUGCAAUGGGGCAGGUCGCAGUGACUCGGGCGCUCCAACUGUCUAGUAACAACAUAGGUGACCGCAAAUCCGCAAGGACUCGUACGGUCACUGAAUCCUGCCCAGUGCGGGUAUCUGAACACCCAGUACAAUGGGACGAAGGACCCGUUAACGGCGGGGGUAACUAUGACCCUCUUAAGGUAGCGUAGUACCUUGCCGCUUCAGUAGCGGCUUGCAUGAAUGGAUCAAUGAGAGCGCCACUGUCCCAACGUUGGGCCCGGUGAACUGUACGUUCCAGUGCGGAGUCUGGAGACCCCCAAGGGGAAGCGAAGACCCUAUAGAGCUUUACUGCAGGCUGUCACUGAGACGUGGUCGCCAUUGUGCAGCAUAGGUAGGAGCCGCUACACAGGUACCCGCGCUAGCGGGUCACCGAGGCANAUUGAAAUACUACCCGAUGGUGACUGCGACUCUCACUCCUGGCGGAGGACACUGGUAGCCGGGCAGUUUGACUGGGGCGGUACGCGCCUGAAAAGAUAUCGGGCGCGCCCCAAGAUUUCCUCACCCGCGUCGGAGACGCGGGAAAGAGCGCAAGAGCAUACGGAAGUCUGACAGUGUCCGGCCUAACGACGGACGCUGACGCGAAAGCGUGGUCUAGCGAACCAAUUAGGCUGCUUGAUGCGGCCAAUUGCUGACAGAAAAGCUACCUUAGGGAUAACAGAGUCGUCACCCGCAAGAGCACAUAUCGACCGGGUGGCUUGCUACCUCGAUGUCGGUUCCCUCCAUCCUGCCCGUGCAGCAGCGGGCAAGGGUGAGGUUGUUCGCCUAUUAAAGGAGGUCGUGAGCUGGGUUUAGACCGUCGUGAGACAGGUCGGCUGCUAUCUAUUGGGGGUGUGAGGUUCCUGACAGGAACGUUCGUAUAGUACGAGAGGAACUCCGAAUGGGUGCCACUGGUGUACCGGCUGUUCGACAGAGCACGUGCCGGGUAGCCACGCACCACGGGGUAAGAGCUGAACGCAUCUAAGCUCGAAACCCACCUGGAAAAGAGGAACCANUUCGACAGAGCACGUGCCGGGUAGCCACGCACCACGGGGUAAGAGCUGAACGCAUCUAAGCUCGAAACCCACCUGGAAAAGAGGAACCAUUGAGGCCACUUCUAGAAGAGAAGAUCGAUAGACUCGGGGUGUACGCGUCGAGGCAACGAGACGUUGAGCCCGCGAGCACUAAUCGGCCAAGCCACACAUU
rfam:Natrialba asiatica DSM 12278 contig_40, whole genome shotgun sequence.